GGGUUUAUACUGUAGUGGUUAUCGUGUCUGCUUUACAUGCAGAAGGUCCUGGGUUCAAUCCCCAGUAAAACCA